GGAGAGGUGGCCGAGUCCGGUUGAAGGCGCAUCCCUGCUAAGGAUGUAACGGGGUAACCUGUUCGAGGGUUCGAAUCCCUCUCUCUCCGCCA
rnacentral:tRNA from 3 species